rnacentral:rRNA from 1 species
UACGGGGGGGGCAAGCGUUGUUCGGAAUUACUGGGCGGAAAGGGCUCGUAGGUGGCCAACUAAGUCAGACGUGAAAUCCCUCGGCUUAACCGGGGAACUGCGUCUGAUACUGGAUGGCUUGAGUUCGGGAGAGGGAUGCGGAAUUCCAGGUGUAGCGGUGAAAUGCGUAGAUAUCUGGAGGAACACCGGUGGCGAAGGCGGCAUCCUGGACCGAUACUGACGCUGAGGAGCGAAAGCCAGGGGAGCAAACGGG